GAUGAACGCUGGCGGCGUGCCUAAUACAUGCAAGUCGAGCGAACAGACGAGGAUCUUGCUCCUCUUACGUUAGCGGCGGACGGGUGAGUAACACGUGGAUAACCUACCUAUAAGACUGGGAUAACUUCGGGAAACCGGAUCUAAUACCGGAUAAUAUAUUGAACCGCAUGGUUCAAUAGUGAAAGACGGUUUUGCUGUCACUUAUUGAUGGAUCCGCGCCGCAUUAGCUAGUUGGUAAGGUAACGGCUUACCAAGGCAACGAUGCGUAGCCGACCUGAGAGGGUGAUCGGCCACACUGGAACUGAGACACGGUCCAGACUCCUACGGGAGGCAGCAGUAGGGAAUCUUCCGCAAUGGGCGAAAGCCUGACGGAGCAACGCCGCGUGAGUGAUGAAGGUCUUCGGAUCGUAAAACUCUGUUAUUAGGGAAGAACAAAUGUGUAAGUAACUAUGCACGUCUUGACGGUACCUAAUCAGAAAGCCACGGCUAACUACGUG
rnacentral:rRNA from 1 species